UACGUAGGGGGCAAGCGUUGUCCGGAAUCAUUGGGCGUAAAGAGCGUGUAGGCGGCCCGAUAAGUCCGCUGUGAAAGUCCAGGGCUCAACCCUGGAAUGCCGGUGGAUACUGUCGGGCUCGAAUCCGGAAGAGGUGAGUGGAAUUCCUGGUGUAGCGGUGAAAUGCGCAGAUAUCAGGAGGAACCCCAAUGGCGAAGGCAGCUCCCUGGACGGUAUUGACGCUGAGACGCGAAAGCGUGGGGAGCAAACAGG
rnacentral:rRNA from 1 species